CCUCUAUCUAGUCUCUCUGCGCCAGGCCGCCCCACCGCAGCGCCCACGCCCAAGGUACACUCGACGCCAUUCGCUUUUGCUAGCUCCAAUUUGCGCCUUCUUUCCAAGCCAGGAUCUCGCAGUUGCCAUGGCGUCGCGGCUCCGAUCCAUCGCUAGGGCUCUUGGAAUGUAGCGUCGGGGAAGACUCGUCUAUCUUGGAAGAGGGUUUGGCGGCGAAUCCCGCAGCAAUGUGGCAGCAGCAGCAGCAACAGCAAUCCGAGUGGAGGAAUGCGAAUCAUCCAUUCUGGCAGCAGUACCAGCGGCAGCAGCAGUACCAGCAGCAGCAGCAGCAGCAGUGGAGGAAUCAAAACCAGAGCUGGCACGAUUUUCCUCGCGAGUUUCCACAGGCGCCACUAAACAGCCCCCGAUAUAUUGGCGAUGGAACGCGCAGGACUUCUCAAGGGCCUGGAACUGGAGCAAGGGCGGCCUUUCAACCCAAGAGAUCGUGGAACCAAAGAGACAAUAGGAAUUGGUAAGGUGGGAGGUUUGUGAGGCAGGAUGAUACUCGACGCUGGCUCCAUUCUAAAGCACCUUUCGAGAUUUCUCUCGUACAACAUUCUAGCCGCCGACAAUGCUCGGGAGCAUUAUCGUGAGCUCUACUAUCACAUCCCAAUGCGCUAUGUCAAAUGGGACUGGAGAAAAGUGCGCUAGGUGCAAGAAAUCGAGUACUGGUCACCGGACAUUCUUUGUUUGCAGGAGGUCGAUCGCUUUGCAGAUUUGCAAGGCGAGCUAGUGAAGAGAGGAUAUGCCAGGAUGUUCAAGGUAUGUUCCCUCUUCUUUUGUACUGAAACCAUCAGUGUCGAAUUGGCACUGCCACUGGAUGGGUGUGCAAUCUUUUGGAGAGAGAAAAGGUUUGCAAUUUUGCAUUUUUUUUUGUAUUCCAAGUGUGUGAGUGUUGAGUUAUAUUUUGUUAAAGAUGGAUUUAUGAAAGAUCAUUUAGUAAUUAUUUGUAGA